UACGUAGGGUGCAAGCGUUAAUCGGAAUUACUGGGCGUAAAGCGUGCGCAGGCGGUUUUGUAAGUCUGACGUGAAAUCCCCGGGCUCAACCUGGGAACUGCAUUGGUGACUGGCGGGCUAGAGUGUGGCAGAGGGGGGUAGAAUUCCACGUGUAGCAGUGAAAUGCGUAGAGAUGUGGAGGAAUACCGAUGGCGAAGGCGGCCCCCUGGGCUAACACUGACGCUCAUGCACGAAAGCGUGGGGAGCAAACAGG
rnacentral:rRNA from 1 species